rnacentral:rRNA from 1 species
UACGGGAGGCAGCAGUGAGGCCNUAUUGGUCAAUGGGCGCGAGCCUGAACCAGCCAAGUAGCGUGAGGGAUGACUGCCCUAUGGGUUGUAAACUGCUUUUAUACAGGGAUAAAGUCGGGGACGUGUCCCCGUUUGCAGGUACUGUAUGAAUAAGGACCGGCUAAUUCCGUGCCAGCAGCCGCGGUAAU